UGGCUCAGACGGUAAAGCGUCUGCCUACAAUGCAGGAGACCCAGGUUCGAUCCCUGG
rnacentral:tRNA from 1 species